AGGGUCGGACGGUAUAUUUGAUCGAUAAAUCCGCGGUCACACUGAUCUCAAUUGCGGAACAUAAGGCCGUUUUGAAGCCCAACUGUGGCCCACAACUCCGCCCUGCCUCAGCCAGACCACCAGAUCGGCCAGGUGGAUCUUAGCCGACCAGAUCUUAGCCCGAAUCUGAAGAAAACCAAGCUGGAUGAGGCCUCGACGGCGGGGUUGAUGCAAGCACAUAAACGGAUCAGGGCGUGGUGUCUAUGAUGAGCUUCCAUCUGCGUCGCAAAAAGGGACUGGAACAAACCCUGGCGGCCAAGCUUACACCAAAGGCGUACGUCAAGGAGACUCAUGCCGUGCCCGGGCUGCCGGAGCUGCUGGAUCCUGCAUUCCCAACAAGACACGUCUGGACAGAUUAUGCGCCACUACGGCAGUGCAAGGGCAUCCGCCAGUUGCAGGCUUUGUACGUGUCCCACCUGCACGCGGAUCAUCACAUUGGAUUGAUUGGACUGCUGAAGGAGCGCAGAUAGCUGGCCCCGAAGGAAACUCGCUGCUCUUACUUGCGCCGCGGCAGAUCGAGCCAUGGAUGGAGUUCUAACAAGGAUAGCUCUUGGCGAGACUCCUGACUGGAGAGGCAGUGGCACCAUUGGGCAUAACUGCCGCCACUGCCAAGUCACCAGUAGGAACUGCCAAGCCGCCAGUGCGAACAGCUGCUUAAAAUCUUGCGAGACGCUUGGCGAUGCUGUGGAUGAUCGAGUUCAGCCCAACAAUCAACCUUUGCGGAAUGAGAGGAGCAGCAGCAAGGCAAGAAGGUGAGUUCUGGGUGAAAACUUGUCUCAUUGUCCUAUGCAGGAUGCCGAUCAGGAUUUGUACUAAAACCAGGACAGUUCGGCUAACUCGUCGCAGUCCUCGGUGGGCAUUGAUGACUAUUGGGAUGAGGCUCUGGUCGGCGACUAUGGAAGCACUCAGAAUGAUGACAGCGAUGACUUGGAUGGUCACAACAACUAGCCACCUAUCGAUGGGCAGCAAGGAAAAGAACCCGGCCGCAACGAGUUGCGUUACUAUUGGCGAUCAUGAGGUCAUGGACUGCAAAGAACAAUUCGACAAGCAGCAACAUUACUUGGGCCGAGCAGGGCAGUAAAUGUAAAAGUUGUACAGCACUAUCUUUAAAGCGUGCUCCGGCGGUCUUAAGCCUUCUGCACCAUGUUUUACAUCAUCGGUUUCGACCGGGAGCGCAGACAGCUGGCCCCGAAGGAAACUCGCUGCUCUUACUUGCGCCGCGGCAGAUCGAGCCAUGGAUGGAGUUCUAACACGGAUAGCUCUUGGCGAGACUCCUGACUGCAGAGGCAGUGGCACCAUUGGGCGUAACUGCCGCCACUGCCAAGUCACCAGUAGGAACUGCGAAGCCGCCAGUACGAACAGCUGCUUAAAAUCUUGCGAGACGCUUGGCGAUGCUGUGGAUGAUCAAGUUCAGCCCAACAAUCAACAGUUGCGGAAUGAGAGGAGCAGCAACAGGACAAGAAGGAUGCCGAUCAGGAUUUCUACUAAAACCAGGACAGUUCGGCUAACUCGUCGCAGUCCUCGGUGGGCAUUGAUGACUAUUGGGAUGAAGCUCUGGUCGGCGACUAUGGAAGCACUCAGAAUGAUGACAGCGAUGACUUGGACGGGCACAACAACUAGCCACCUAUCGAUGGGCAGCAAGGAGAAGAACCCGGCCGCAACGAGUUGCGUUACUAUUGGCGAUCAUGAGGUCAUGGACUGCAAAGAACAAUUCGACAAGCAGCAACAUUACUUGGGCCGAGCAGGGCAGUAAAUGUGAAAGUUGUACAGCACUAUCUUAAAAGCGUGCUCCGGCGGUCUUAAGCCUUCUGCACCAUGUUUUACAUCAUCGGUUUCGACCGGAUCCAGUGGCCUAAAAAGUGCUAUAGAGCGAUCCUCUCUUACCCCACCAGGAGGUCACCCCCUCCGGUGGCCAUGAAUACCUUUUGCAUGACCGCGAAUACCGAAUUACCCACCAUCGUUUAACUGGGGCUUCACACUUCAGGUCCUCCGGUUUAGCUGAACGAGUGGGCGCUCGAUGGCGGCUGUCCACUCCAGGCGCCUACCGGCUGACAUCGCGAGCUCCCCACCGGCUCUUGGGACAUGACUUACAUCGCGCGAGCUGUGGCCUCUAGCCUGGACGACCUUUGGGUCCUCUCGGGAUGUGUAAGGGAUGUGCUCCUGGCUGGACUGUGGCAGGCACUGUCUGUCCUCCUGCGGGCCAAAGCCAUGAUGCCACUACUGUGUCGCUGAAUCGACAAUGUGGCGUCCCGUCCGCUGCAGCAGGGACCACUGAUCGACUUCAGAAUUGUGGGUUCACGCCCACGGUAAUCAAACGCUGGUCUUCAGCCUCGAGGCGCAGGGCUUAUGUACCAUAUCCAAGCAUUGCCGAAUCGUAUCCCAGCAGGACAAAAGCGCACCCCUUGGAAGAGCCCAAAUCUAACAAGCCGACGUCACAUUUCGACCUGGCCAUUGAAAACUAUCUCAAGGACUUUGGCUAUGGCAACCAAGGGAGGGAUACGCGGACUACCAGACUAUAGAUAGAUCUCGUUGUUAAUAGGUUUAAGGAUACACACGUCUGUACAUUUAGAUAGUAGAUAUAAAUAUUUCCAAAUUGUUAAUUUCUUUAUAGUAAGUUAACGUUAUUAUGAAUAAAACUAUUGAAAAAUUA
rnacentral:sRNA from 1 species